ensembl:lncRNA
UCUCUAUCUCUCUCUGUGUGUUUAGCUGGCUCUGCAGAAGCAGGCUGUAGAGAGGGACCUGGAGGGAGUGCAGGGCAAGCUGAAGAACACACAAAGUGAUCUAACAGAGAGCCAAAAGCAAGAGGCUCUCACACAGGCAAAACUCACGGAGUCACUGAAGGAAAACGAGGGAUUGAGCGUGUCACUGAACAGUUGAAGAAGAGAGAGAAAAGCUGGAGGCAGAGGUGAAAAGACUUACUGAGGAGUUAGCUGAAGCACUGAAACUCAUUAAAGAGUUGCAGGCCCAACUUGCAGCUCCUCCUCCACAAGUGGUCUCCCAUCCUGUUGCUGGUGACAAUUUCAGUCCUGUUCUGUCCACUUAUCCCAGUUACUCUCCACCUCGACAGCACUCAUCCCAGAGAAAGAGAACGCUAAAAAAUGAGAGACCAAAAUAUCGGAUAGGCCAGGGCCUUUAGCCUGUCCUUCUGAGAGAGAACCUGGUGAGGGGAUUGACUCUGAGCACAUCAGCGAGUUUGGCUCUGAGGACUCACCCCCAUUGAGCAUCAGUAUACAAGAAGGGAAUCUGUGUGGAGCACAACGGUCUAGUGAGGCAGAGAUGGAGAGCUCCAUUACUGAACAAGACACAGGGAUAGAAGAUACAGACACCGACUCGUGCAUGUCUGAUUCAAUCAAUGAGCGCAUCUUUAAAGAUGAUAUCCACUGUGACUCAGGAAACCAAAAGUCGAGCUCUUUAAAUCAGGGACAGAAACGGGACUCAUCUUAUAUUGUUGAAUUAAAGAAAGAGAAUUCAGCUCUCCGGGAUGAGCUCAGGGACAUUAAACGGGAGUUAGAUCAGCGUCUGGAUGACCUUGAGACUCAAAGGCAGGCAGAAGCUGAGGCCAGGACCAAACUGAAGCAACUAAGCAAAAAGCACUCAAGCCAGGCCGAGCAGCAUCGCACAAAAGCCCAGGAGCUUAAAGAGAAAGGAAGCAAACUGGAGGCACAGCUGGAACAAGAGAGGAAGGAGAGUGCAAGAUUAAGGGAAGUGGUAACUACUUUGGAGAAGGAGGCUGAAAAAAGACAGGAGGAAGGUGAGAGAAAAGAGGAAGAAACCAAAGAGGAGACCAUCAAACUUAAAGAAGCCUUGGCUCAGAUGGAAAGAAAGGAGGAACUUCUUGAAAAAGAGGGGGAGAAAAUGCGCAAGGAACUAGAGGUGCUUCAGUCUGAGCUUUUUCAGGAACGUGAGGAGAGAGAAAGGGAGCUAGAGGAGGAGAAGAAACUACGCAAAACCUACGAAGUGGAAGGAGUAAAGAUUGCAGAACUUCAAGCAGAGUUGGACUGGCUACAAAGUUCUUCCACAGUGGAGGACAAAAAUGUAAACACCAGCAUGCCUUUAACCUAUCUGCAGCUUGGAAACCAACCAAACACCACAAACGAUGUUACAGCAUUAGAAAAUGAGGUUUUCUUCUGUGAGUCGGUGAACCUUCCGAGUACCAUGUUCUCCAAGGAACCAAAAAAAGCCCUGAUUACAGAAUGUGGAACUGGGAUAAAAGCUGGGGAGCACUCUCCAUUAGAACAGGACACUACUUCAACUGGAAAUCUGGAGGAUCAUACAAAGAGCACAAAAGGCGUAAACUUGGAUGACACUACCGUUUUGGUACUGGAGGUGGAACGUAUGCGAGUACAGAGAGAUAGGGAAGCAGAAAGGGCGAAAAAGUCACAGAAAAUGUUGGAGGCUCUUCAGAACCAGGUGACGAGUCAGACCCAGCAGCUAACUCUAGCAUUUGAAAAUCAGAGCAAGCACAUUGAAGACCUUUUAAGGGAACUACAGCAAAGAGACAGUGCCCUCCAGAGGCAAGGAGAGGAACUACAGAGCUGUCUAAAAGAGCUUGCCUCACUCAAGGUGGAUAAAGAGAGAGUUACCAGCAUGACCUCAAGCACUAAGAAGUCUGCUGAAGUUUCUGCAGAGCCAUCUUGUGAUUUUGCGAUUAACACUACUACUUCAAAUACUCAUGAAGAGUCUGAACAAGAAUCUUAUAACACUGUGAAAAAUAAACCACUACAGUCUGAUCACCAGUCCUUUAAAAUUUAGAAGUUGGAGAGGAUCCGCCUGGCAAUGUCUCUGCUGCUUCAGAUAAGACAAAUAUGGGUCAGGUGACCUUAGCCACCAAGGAACAUGUAACAUUAACAUCCUCAGAUCUUUAUGGAAAAGAUUCUGACCACUAUAAUGACAACACUACUGCAGAGGAGCUACCAGAACUACUGACUACUGCUCAGCAAGACAAUCGUCAUGCGAUUGAGACUAAUGCAGAGAAUGCACAGAGCGCUGUUGUAUCUAGUUUCACAGAGACAAAAGAACUACCAGAAACUUUACAAAGCUUCUGGAACAUUCCACAGUUAACACAACCACCAUAAAGAUGGUAAUAAACAGAUUGCAUGAAGAACAGAAUGAGCUGUCUUCGUUAAAGGCCAAACAUGACCAACUGACUUUGCAGCUGCAGGAAGUGUCAAGGCAGGAUUUCCUGUCCCUCAAGCAAGAGCUUGAACAGCUGAAAUUAAAAUUGAAGCAAAUCGAUAAUGAACCACGUUUAUCGGAAAUAGAUUUAAAACAAGACAAGUCUAAUCGUUUGACAAACGCAGAAGAAGAGAGUGCGUCAGUCGCAGAUGUGGAGGAGAAGGUUGUAAUUGGUGGGAGUUCUGAAGACAACUGGCCAAAAUGUGAAGAUGAACAUGAGGAGAAUGAAAAUGAGACCUGCACCUCAGCACGGAUUCACUCUCUUCAUGAACAGCUGCAAGCCCUGCGGCGUGAGCUUCAGCUCCUUUCUGAGAAGAACAGACACCAAGCUGAAGAGCUCCAGCUUUGGAGACUGUCUGCCAUGACCCCUGAGGAGACACUGGAUCAGGAAUGCAACCGCAGCCCUAUAGUUGUAAUGCGAGAGGAACGACUAAUCCUCUCAUGCAGCCCCACUAUGCUACACUCCCAGAACAUACAGAGCAGCAUGGUGCAGUUUGGAGGUCUUUCCCAGCCCAUAGGUUAUUGUGAACCUCUUACUACAGACCACCAAAGAGCUUAUCAGACCUCAUCAGGAAAGAGCACAGAGGACUUGCCAUUAAUUCUUCAGGCAAUGGAACUGAUUGCUGAUGACAAUAGUGCGAUAAAUGACAUAAAUGAUCACCUAAAAAUGGAGCUCGAACCCCCGAAUGGCAAGAGUGCAUCUGCGGACUUGUCCUCCGAAAUGGAAAACUCUGAUCACAGGCAUGAUUUUGCUCAUCAGAUCAAACAAACAGGACUGAGCGAGGAUCAGCAACCUGGACACCAGCCUUGUGAAAUCGCUUUCCGACCAGAAAGCAGAGAGGAUGGUUUAACAGAAAAGGGAAUAAAGACCAAACUAAUAGGUCCCAAGCUCCAUACGGAAUCAGCAGAGGGGAAAGGUUCUGAUGUGUCUAGUCUGAGGCAUGAUGAGGUAGUGACUGCCACACAAAGUGAUCAGUCUCAUAGAAACAGGACAAAGCAAAAAAACGAACACUCUCCAAUUCUGGACAGUCAGACUUCUAUCUCUGUCCAAAAGAGGAUAAUGCUGUAGACCAGCAACAAAUAUCAGAGAUCACUGGGUUCACCAGUAGUAUAGACAAAGCAGGUACUAAAGAAGUGAAGAGUGUGUGCACUCAGACAGAAGAGUAUAACAGAGAGGAAGUUGAGGACUUUGGAAGCCCCAAGCAGAGACCAGUUGUCCUCCAUACCAGCACCCAGACCCAUGAUGAACAGGCUAUGCAGAGUGAGGAGGAGAAACAGAAUGAUGAGUACACUGAAUCGCCUCCGCUCUCUUCUGCCCCUGCAGCUGAGACCAAAAAGCUAAUAUUUUCCGGCUCGUUCCCGAUCCCAGCCGAUCCAGUUCACCUUGCCGAGCGAAUUAGGCGCAGCCGUAGUCGCAUGUCUGCAGCAUAUGAUGACACGGAGUAUGAACCCUACGGCCUGCCUGAGGUCGUAAUGAAAGGUUUUGCUGAUAUUCCCAGUGGUCCUGCUUGUCCAUAUGUUUUGCGCAGGGGGCUUCUGGGAACAGAUGCUUUACCCAUCUCCCUCAGAGAGCCGCCACUCACAGAGGCUGAGGAGGAAAUUGACCCAUAGCAAUCUCAAACAGUGUGUUCCAGGGAAGAUUUAAAGCUGCCUGUUUCAUCCUGAAUAUAAGUGGUCUCUACUCUUUAAAUGGAACUCUCGUACACAUUUUUGCCAAUUUCAGCCUUCUGGAGCGCAAUCGUGUUCUCUCAGAUUGUGUUGCAUCAUUCUCACUAUCUGAAAAAUUCCUUUGGAGCAGAUAUGUUUACAUUGUUUUGUGAUGCAUGCUAACUUUCAUUUUGAAACACACAAACUUUUUGAACAUCUUUGUUCAUAUUUUUAUUUCUUUUUUUGCACUGUCCUAGAUUAUUGAUUGUUGUGAAUGUGGUACGUUAAAGGCCUGAGGAACGUGUGUGUGUGUGUGGGGGCAAACGUAUGACUCAGACCAACCUGAGCCUGUUUCCGCUCCAUGUAUGGUGAUCUGUGAAGUGUGCACACACACACACACACACACACACACACACACACACACACUGUGCAGUGCUUGGUUUAUCUUAGUUCAGCUAGACAUUUGUACAAGUCCUUUCGUAUAAGAAAGGUUUAGAAUUGUAAUUUUUAAAAAUGAAAUUAAUAUAUUUAAAUGAUAUUUGUUUUAGGUUUUGUAAGAUAAAUUUUUGUUUUAUAUGCUACGUGAACAAAGAGCAUUUGUAAUGCUGAGUGCUUGUAUUGAUAAGUAGUUUAGUUUACUUGGGACAUUUUGAAGGAGAUGACUUACUAAUGUGUACACUUUGUUUGAAGGACUUGUUACUUGUUUUGAGUUGGAGUUUCUCCCCCACCAGUGAUUUGAGUUUUUGGUCUAUUAAAGUUUAAAAUAUGGCCUUAAAAGUGCAACUUGUUUUGUUUUUUUUCCAUUGUAAAUGUGCAUUUGAACCGCAUGUUCAUAUCUCAAACAACUUUCAACAGCUGUGAAAUUCAUGCAAGGAAUACAUCUUCUGUUAAUCCUUGUAGAUGUUUAAUGUAUUGGAAAAACUCACUCACUCACUGGUAAAGAAACUGAAAGUUACUUUGCUUAUGGGGAUGUGGACCCAGAUCAUUCAUCUUCACAUUGCAAUGUUAAGUUGGUGUCUUUGGCAGUCGGUUAUUUCUGGAUAAGGAAUAAAGACACAACAUUUUCACUGAUGCACAGGUCUGUUUCCCAUUUAAGCUGUAACAAUUAGUCAUUUUGAUUAACACUGGUCUCAAACUGCACUCCUGACUAGUAGUGAGCUACAUUGCUGCCUUUGGCUGAAAAUACAACUCCAAUGGGACAGCAGUCAAGCUUUGGAGGUGACGGUGAGCUUUCUGAGGAAAAGAAUGGGCAAAUAUGAAGAAAAGGUUUAAUCAACUGAUUAACUAAAACCGACUUUCCUUCCUCUAGCAAACAUUAUCAUGUGACCA